GUAAGCUAAUCUCUUAAAGCCGUUCUCAGUUCGGACUGUAGGCUGCAACUCGCCUACACGAAGUCGGAAUCGCUAGUAAUCGCGCAUCAGCCAUGGCGCGGUGAAUACGUUCCCGGGCCUUGUACACACCGCCCGUCAAGCCAUGGGAGCCGGGGGUGCCUGAAGUUCGUUACCGCAAGGAUCGACCUAGGGCAAAACUGGUGACUGGGGCUAAGUCGUAACAAGGUAGC
rnacentral:rRNA from 1 species